UGGGGAAUAUUGCACAAUGGGCGCAAGCCUGAUGCAGCCAUGCCGCGUGUAUGAAGAAGGCCUUCGGGUUGUAAAGUACUUUCAGUCGGGAGGAAGGUGGUAAGGUUAAUAACCUUAUCAAUUGACGUUACCGACAGAAGAAGCACCGGCUAACUCCGUGCCAGCAGCCGCGGUAAUACGGAGGGUGCAAGCGUUAAUCGGAAUUACUGGGCGUAAAGCGCACGCAGGCGGUCUGUCAAGUCGGAUGUGAAAUCCCCGGGCUCAACCUGGGAACUGCAUUCGAAACUGGCAGGCUAGAGUCUUGUAGAGGGGGGUAGAAUUCCAGGUGUAGCGGUGAAAUGCGUAGAGAUCUGGAGGAAUACCGGUGGCGAAGGCAGCCCCCUGGACAAAGACUGACGCUCAGGUGCGAAAGCGUGGGGAGCAAACAGG
rnacentral:rRNA from 1 species